rnacentral:rRNA from 1 species
GAUGAACGCUGGCGGCGUGCCUAAUACAUGCAAGUCGAGCGAACGGACGAGAAGCUUGCUUCUCUGAUGUUAGCGGCGGACGGGUGAGUAACACGUGGAUAACCUACCUAUAAGACUGGGAUAACUUCGGGAAACCGGAGCUAAUACCGGAUGAUAUUUUGAACCGCAUGGUUCAAAAGUGAAAGACGGUCUUGCUGUCACUUAUAGAUGGAUCCGCGCUGUAUUAGCUAGUUGGUAAGGUAACGGCUUACCAAGGCAACGAUGCAUAGCCGACCUGAGAGGGUGAUCGGCCACACUGGAACUGAGACACGGUCCAGACUCCUACGGGAGGCAGCAGUAGGGAAUCUUCCGCAAAGGGCGAAAGCCUGACGGAGCAACGCCGCGUGAGUGAUGAAGGUCUUCGGAUCGUAAAACUCUGUUAUUAGGGAAGAACAUAUGUGUAAGUAACUGUGCACAUCUUGACGGUACCUAAUCAGAAAGCCACGGCUAACUACGUG